AGAGUUUGAUCCUGGCUCAGAUUGAACGCUGGCGGCAUGCUUUACACAUGCAAGUCGAACGGUAACAGGCCGCAAGGUGCUGACGAGUGGCGAACGGGUGAGUAAUGCAUCGGAACGUGCCCAGUCGUGGGGGAUAACGCAACGAAAGCUGCGCUAAUACCGCAUACGAUCUAUGGAUGAAAGCGGGGGACCGUAAGGCCUCGCGCGAUUGGAGCGGCCGAUGUCAGAUUAGGUAGUUGGUGGGGUAAAGGCUCACCAAGCCAACGAUCUGUAGCUGGUCUGAGAGGACGACCAGCCACACUGGAACUGAGACACGGUCCAGACUCCUACGGGAGGCAGCAGUGGGGAAUUUUGGACAAUGGGCGCAAGCCUGAUCCAGCAAUGCCGCGUGCAGGAAGAAGGCCUUCGGGUUGUAAACUGCUUUUGUACGGAACGAAACGGCGAGCUCUAAUACAGUUUGCUAAUGACGGUACCGUAAGAAUAAGCACCGGCUAACUACGUGCCAGCCGCCGCGGUAAUAC
rnacentral:rRNA from 1 species